UUUUGGUGUUUCUGCCAGAGGUGUCCUCUGGGUGUCUUUCCAUUUUAUGGAACUUAAAUACAUUUUUAAUUAUACCAAUAUAUGUAGGCCGCUCUGGAGAGGUAUAACAAAAUUAAAGGCAAUGCUCCUGAAAGAUUGGUAUCAGGAUCUGAUGAUUUUACAAUGUUCCUCUGGGAACCUGCUGUUAGCAAACAACCUAAAACUCGUAUGACAGGUCAUCAACAGGUACAAUUUUUAUAUGUUUCUAAUUGCAAUCUAAUUUUACAGUUACUGUUUGGUGGGAGUGCAAUACUGUUCAUUUUUACUUAUCCUUCAUUGUUGUUUGUUGUCAUCUUAUUGGAAAACAUUUUCUUCUUUCUUAUAUUGACAGUUGAACUCCUAGCAUUUCAUUGUCACAUCUUUUUUAAGUGGGUUAUAAGCUUAAUCUGUGUGGCCGAUUGGUUCUUUCUUUCAUUCAAAAAAUUUUAGCUUGUAACUUUGACUUUGUGGUUGCAGCUUGUAAACCAUGUUUAUUUUUCACCUGAUGGGCAAUGGGUGGCAAGCGCCUCAUUUGAUAAGUCUAUCAAGUUAUGGAAUGGAACGACAGGAAAAUUUGUUGCUGUUUUCCGGGGACAUGUUGGGCCUGUUUAUCAGAUCAGGUUUGAGUUAAUCUAUUGUUUUAUAUAUCCGUCAAACUUUUACUGUGUGGUUGAUAUGUCAUGUUGUAUGUCACUAUACAGCUGGUCUGCGGAUAGUAGGCUUCUUCUAAGUGGGAGCAAAGAUUCCACAUUGAAGGUAACAUAACAUUUACACAAUUGUUUCAAGAUUUUGAUUGAGAUUUGCUGAGUUCAUUUAGCAUUUGAAACACCUUAAUUAUCCUACAAAAGAUCACACAUCAGUUAUGAACUUAGAUUGCCCACUUGAAGACUCGGUUUCCUGUUGACACUGUUCAUGCAUAAUGUACUUUUAGGUUUGGGAUAUACGGACACAGAAGCUGAAACAAGAUCUUCCAGGCCAUGCAGACGAGGUAUCUUCACUCUGAAAUUAAUGUCUUCUGAGCAUAAUUUCUUUUUCCUACACUAACAUGCCAUUAUAAAUAAAGAUGCAAUUGUUUUCUUACUUAAGCAUGCUGGUAAAUUAUACCCAUGAAUUUGUUUUGUGAAGGUCUUUGCUGUUGAUUGGAGUCCUGAUGGUGAGAAGGUAGCCUCCGGUGGCAAAGAUAGAGUGUUGAAGUUGUGGAUGGGUUAAACUAAUGAAUUGCAAAAGGUGCUUGCGAUUACAUGUUUUCAAAUUGUCGUUCGAGAGGCAAUCUAAUUGGUUUGAUCUUCUCAUACACAUACACUCCAACUUGUUAUAUGCUAAUCGGCGCAAGGAGUUAAUUAUCAGCUUCAAGGGUUUUGUGGAAAAACUUCAGUCACAGCAGAAGCACGCUUCAAAUCCAUGAUGAUAACAGUGUUUUGCAGAAUUGGAAGAUUGCAUUCUCACGGUUUUGGAAAAUUAUUUAACAUCAACUCAAGUUUGCAUUCUUUUCUCACUUUGUUUAACUAUGCCAGUCUUCCCUUGCUUGGAGGAGUUUGAAUUCAUUAUGCUGCAUUUUUAUCAUCAGACUAGUGACAGAUCUUACAAUGAGUUUGAAGCAAAUUGUUUGCUUGUAAAUUUACCAUAGCAUUUUGUAAUAUUGAUAUUCGUCAUAAAAUAGUUUGGGGUCUUGUGAACCGCUUGAUGAAAACACUGAUUACAUCAUUGGACCUAUUGCUUCUACUGCAAGAUGGUUAAUUACCUGCUAUGAAAUUUUCAUCCCAUUUCUGAAGUGAAUGCUUUUAUCUUAGCCCCCAGAGUUUUGUACAGAACUUGAGCCCAACUUCACAGGCACAAAAUCGUGCGGCAUAAUUUGAGCAUCUAAAAUAUGUACGUGCAAUGUGGUUUAGUUUUUGAUAAAUAUUUUCAUCUUGACAAUACUGGCAUAUUGCUUCUUCCUUCAACCUUUUCCACCCGAGUAAAGCUCUUGUUUGUAGUUCUUCAAAUCUGAAUGAUGGCAAAUAACACUUUUCUAAGAAUGCGAGUGAUACAUGCAUCAGCAAGCAACCUGGGGAUGUUUCAAAUUCACCUAGUUCUAAAAUCUAGAUAACACUCACGACUUUUUGUAACUACAUCGAAAAAUUGGAUUGAGCGUGAUUCAAUUGCAUUUUUUCUCUGUUUUUCUGGUAAGUGUUUUCUCCUAAUAGCCUUUAAGCUUUUCCCUGGUCAAAAAUUGGUCUCCUCUGCUAAGCUUAAUGAAGCAACAGUAAAUAUAGAAACCAGUAAACAAAAGAAAAACUAGCGUGACAUAACAUGUUGGUGAGAAACUAUAUUAGAGCCGUACUUUUAUUUGUCAGGUAGUAGAUAUGAAGCUUAUUUCCUCCUUUGACAGAAAAUAGGCUGGUCGUGUUAAUAACAACAAAGGAACUUCUACGAGGUUGAGGCCUCUCAACAGGGGGCUCUUUGAUUUCUUGGGUGCCAAGUUUGCAGCACCAGCAUAGCAUUCCAUCCCGACCUUCCAAGAAAUGCUCAUCACUUUUCCAAAAAGCUAAUGGCGUUCCAAGGCUUUUUUGGGUCCAUUGGUGAAUAAUUUUUUCCCAAGUUUCAUUAGCACCAAAUUCAUCCAUAACCCAAAUUGUCACCAAGAGAGGGAGGAGACAUUUUCUACAGCAUCGGCGAUGAGCUUGCACAUAAGAAUGCCACAACUGUUCCUGUGUCUGGUUCCGUAGUUAAGCAACUACGAAUUUGGGGUUUGCAAUUAGAGAAUGCCAUGACUUUUUUUUCAGGCUUGCAUUGCAGCAGUGAGUCUGCAGGCAGCCGAGCAAGUAUCUCGGCCAUCAAUUCUUCAGGAAGAUCGUUAAUCCUUGCUGUUAAUUUCUUCACUAUCCAGCAUUUGCAAGAUUACACAAGUGAAUGUUGUAUUGAAUCAUAAAAUUUGGAAGGGAAAACCUGUAAAUUCUUCUAAAUUCAGAACAGAGAAAACAGAGGAAAAAAAAAAUAGAGAGACCCGAAAUAUCAAAACCAAAAGCUAAAAUGAGGAUUGAAACGGAGAGAGCAAAAAACUUGAUGUGUCUGCUGAGGGACCCAGAAGGGAAUUCUUUAGAAGCUGCCAUAUAUUUCCCUCUACACGCCCGCCCUCAACAGCUUUCACAAACAGUUAACGAGCUUCUCAAUAAUGUAAACGAAGUUCUUCACUUUGCAAUUUAAAAAUAGCAUUGCAAAGUAAUGGGUGUGUGAAUACCCGCUAAAAAAGUUUAAAUUUUGAUUGCAUAAUUUGAUCAAUUUUAUAGUAAGUGUUUAAAGGGUACAUUUUGAAUUAGCUAAAAAGUGAUUUUAAUCAAGUUUCUUUUUGUGGGUUCCGUGAGGAGGAGAAGCAACAGUAUCUUUUUAUAUAUCAGACCAUGAGCUUGUGGUGCCACUUGGAAGUUAUUUAGAGAAAUAUAAAAGUUUGUGUUUUAGAAAAUUGUUUUAUUUUGGCUUCAAUAUCCGAACAUGGAUUUUUUUUUUUAAUAAUGUUGUAUCAACAAAAUUUUCAGUUUCUGUGGAGAAUGGAGUUGUCGAGAGCUUAUCAACCACAAGCUGCUUUCAGAAUUCGUCCACCUAAUCGUUGCUGAGCUACCAUUGCUGGUGAGUGAACGAUUUAAUAAAUUUAAUUCGUUAGUAAGAUCUCAUUGGAUAGAAGUAUCUUGACUAGUUAACGUUUUGAAAGUGUAGUUCAUACAGGAAGGGUACUUUCAGUAGCCUUUAGUCCUGAUGAUUCCUGUUGGGCGACAGUUGGCCAAGAGGUUCUGGUGAUACCACCGUCCGACUAUGGGACCUUAAUAGCCAGACACCAAUGUUCUCUGUCCUCCGGGGGACUCCACCAAGAGGUUCUUGUAGUUCAUACAAGAGCUGGGCUCUACGUGCAGCAUGGUCUCCUGGAGGUAACCUUCUAGUUAGUGGGAGCAAAGCCUGAGAAAUUCAAUUUUGGAAUCCCCAGACAGGAAAGCCAUCACGCAAUUCAUUGUACGGCCUUUUACUUGAAAAUCUCGUUUCUGUUUUGGCUUGGAUAAAAUCAAUUAGUCUUAUAUCAGGAUAUUAUUGCUAGAUUUUCUUUGCCGGGGGCCUCUAGAAUGUCUUUCCUCUGUGUUCGAUUUUGUUGAUUGACAAUGUAGCUACGUAUGCUUACACCAACUUUUCUUCACCUCUUAAUAUUUCUCUUUUUUCUCUCGAUCAAUACCCUUGCUUCUGCCAUUGUUGUUCCAUUUUAUGAAACUAUAAUACAUUUCAUUGCAUCUAUAAGUAGGCUGCUUAGGAGAGGUACAUCAAAAUGAAGACAACGCUCCUGAAAGAUUGGUGUCAGGAUCUGAGGAUUUUACAAUUUUCCUCUGGAACCUGCUGUUAGCAAACAACCUAAGACUCCCAUAAUAGGUCAACAAAAGGUAUGAAUUGUAUAUAUUUUUAGUCGCAAUAUAACUUUACAAUUACUAUUCUGUGGGAGUGCAAUGUUACCCAAUUUUUCUGAUCUUUCUUUGUUAAUUUUUCUAUGAAAGAUCAUAUAUAAACGAUGAACUUAAAUUGCCCAUUUCUUAAAGGUUUGGGACAUACGGACACAGAAGCUGAAAUAAAUUAAUAUAUUUA
rnacentral:lncRNA from 1 species